AUUGAACGCUGGCGGCAGGCCUAACACAUGCAAGUCGAACGAGUGGCGGACGGGUGAGUAAUGUCUGGGAAACUGCCCGAUGGAGGGGGAUAACUACUGGAAACGGUAGCUAAUACCGCAUACCAUCGGAUGUGCCCAGAUGGGAUUAGAUAGUAGUUGGGGGAAUGGCUCACCUAGGCGACGAUCCCUAGCUGGGCUGAGAGGAUGACCAGCCGCACUGGAACUGAGACACGGUCCAGACUCCUACGGGAGGCAGCAGUGGGGAAUAUUGCACAAUGGGCGCAAGCCUGAUGCAGCCAUGCCGCGUGUAUGAAGAAGGCCUUCGGGUUGUAAAGUACUUGCAUCGGGGAGGCGUUACCCGCAGAAGAAGCACCGGCUAACUCCGUGCCAGCCGCCGCGGUAAUAC
rnacentral:rRNA from 1 species